AUGCAUGCUGUGAAAUUUGGCUACAGAUGGAACAUAGGGGAUGGGAGCAGAACCAGGUUCUGGGAAGAUACUUGGUUUGGCACAUCCCCCCUAGCAGUCCAACUUUGGCCUAUUUACACUGUCCGCAAUGAGCUUAACAAAAGUGUCAAUGAAGUUUGGGACGGUCAAUGCCCAAAACUAUCUUUUAGAAGGAACUUUAGUGAUAGUCGCAUGGAACAAUGGUUCCAGUAG
rnacentral:rRNA from 1 species